rnacentral:rRNA from 1 species
GACGAACGCUGGCGGCGUGCUUAACACAUGCAAGUCGAACGAGUGGCGAACGGGUGAGUAACACGUGGGUGAUCUGCCUUGCACUUCGGGAUAAGCUUGGGAAACUGGGUCUAAUACCGGAUAGUGCAAGAUGAGCUCGUGGCCUAUCAGCUUGUUGGUGGGGUAAUGGCUCCAAAGGCGCGACGGGGAGCCGGCCUGAGAGGGUGUACGGGAACAUUGGGACUGGAAGACGGGCAAGGCUCCUACGAGAGGCAGCAGUGGGGAAUAUUGCACAAUGGGCGGAAGCCUGAUGCAGCGACGCCGCGUGGGGGAUGAAGGCCUUGGGGUUGUAAACUCCUUUCGACAGGGACGCGGUAUCGGGAUAAGAAGCACCGGCUAACUACGUGCCAGGCGCCGCGGUAAUUC